AGACUGGGAUAACUCCGGGAAACCGGGGCUAAUACCGGAUAACAUUUUGAACCGCAUGGUUCGAAAUUGAAAGGUGGCUUCGGCUGCCACUUAUGGAUGGACCCGCGUCGCAUUAGCUAGUUGGUGAGGUAACGGCUCACCAAGGCAAUGAUGCGUAGCCGACCUGAGAGGGUGAUCGGCCACACUGGGACUGAGACACGGCCCAGACUCCUACGGGAGGCAG
rnacentral:rRNA from 1 species